CUGAGAUAGGGUUCCUUCGGGGCCCGACCUCCAACCCUUUGUCUACCAAACCACUGUUGCCUCGGCGGGACGCCGGCGCCCCUCGCGGGCGACGCCGUCGGCCCUCGUGCUCUCGAGUGCCCGCCGCAGGACCCCAACAAAACCCUUUUGUAAACAAGUAUUUUCUGAGUGGAUAUUUAAUGCUUCAAACA
rnacentral:misc_RNA from 1 species